rnacentral:rRNA from 1 species
CCAGCCCGCUCAGAAACUCAAAGGAAGUUGACGGGGCCCGCACAAGCGGUGGAGUAUGUGGUUUAAUUCGAUGCAGCGCGAAGAACCUUACCUGGUCUUGACAUCCCGGAGACCCUUAGGAAACUAGGGGGUGCUUCCAUCUGGAAGAAUCUGGAGACAGGUGCUGCAUGGCUGUCGUCAGCUCGUGUCGUGAGAUGUUGGGUUAAGUCCCGCAACGAGCGCAACCCUUGCCUUUAGUUGCCAGCAGUUCGGCUGGGCACUCUAAAGGGACUGCCGGUGUUAAACCGGAGGAAGGUGGGGAUGACGUCAAGUCCUCAUGGCCUUUAUGACCAGGGCUACACACGUACUACAAUGGCCGAUACAAAGGGCAGCGACACUGCGAGGUGAAGCCAAUCCCGUAAAAUCGGUCUCAGUCCGGAUUGGAGUCUGCAACUCGACUCCAUGAAGUUGGAAUCGCUAGUAAUCGUGGAUCAGCAUGCCACGGUGAAUACGUUCCCGGGCCUU